rnacentral:tRNA from 1 species
GGAGGUUUGGCCGAGUGGUCUAAGGCGCUGUGUUUAGGUUGUUCACACAACAGAAUCCGCAGUCUUCGGGCGUGGGUUCGAAUCCCACAGCCUUCA